rnacentral:rRNA from 1 species
GAUGAACGCUGGCUACAGGCUUAACACAUGCAAGUUGAGGGGAAACGACGGGGAAGCUUGCUUCCCCGGGCGUCGACCGGCGCACGGGUGAGUAACGCGUAUCCAACCUGCCUCUGACUGAGGGAUAACCCGUCGAAAGUCGGCCUAAUACCUCAUGGCAUCGUCUGCGGGCAUCCAACGACGAUUAAAGAUUUCAUCGGUCAGAGAUGGGGAUGCGUCUGAUUAGCUUGUUGGCGGGGUAACGGCCCACCAAGGCGACGAUCAGUAGGGGUUCUGAGAGGAAGGUCCCCCACAUUGGAACUGAGACACGGUCCAAAAUCCUACGGGAGGGAGCAGUGAGGAAUAUUGGUCAAUGGGCGAGAGCCUGAACCAGCCAAGUAGCGUGCAGGAGGACGGCCCUAUGGGUUGUAAACUGCUUUUAUGCGGGGAUAAAGUGAGGGACGUGUCCUUCAUUGCAGGUACCGCAUGAAUAAGGACCGGCUAAUUCCGUG